UGCGUAGGUGGUUUGAUAAGUUGGGUGUGAAAGUCCUGAGCUUAACUUGGGGAUUGCGCUUAAUACUGUUGAGCUAGAGUACUGUAGAGGAAGGUGGAAUUUCCAGUGUAGCGGUGAAAUGCGUAGAUAUUGGAAGGAACAUCAGUGGCGAAGGCGACUUUCUGGACAGAUACUGACACUGAGGCACGAAAGCAUGGGGAGGCAAACA
rnacentral:rRNA from 1 species